CUGCCCUGACGGCAGAGCCCAAUGACUGCUGGCGUCACCCCCGGAGUCCUGCACCACCGCCCUCUUCGCUCAAUCGCCGCCCUGGCAGAGCACUCCAUUGCUUCUCCCCGGCCUUCGCGCCGCUCCCCUUCUCUCUCUCCCGCACCGCUUCCUUCUCAGUUCCAGCGGCUAUAAAAGGAAUGCGCCAGCCGCCGGAGUUCCCUCCGCCAUUGUUUCCUUAGCCAUUCUCUCGCUCCCUGCUCAAGCUCCUAGCGCCACCCACCAAGUUCUUGAGGAGCUCUGCUCUCAGAUUCUCUCUCAGUUUUCUCCAAGUCACCCAGCCGCUUGCUCCUCCUUGCUGCGUAAAAGCUCUCUUGUGAUCUGCAAGAAGCACCGCCGCCGCCGUAGCAUUCCCAGUCUUAGCCGUUGUUCAAGCUUUAGUUUCCCCGCCCAAGUCUGCUUCUUCCCGACCCCAAGCUUUCCUUUCAGGAAGAAGGUGAGUUGCCGACCCCAGUCCGCUUCGCCCGACCCCUCCUAUCUGCCCGACCCCGAUUCCGUCUCGCCCGACCCUGUCUGUUCCGCCGACCCUUAUCCGCCUCGCCCGAGGGUUCGGCUGUGAUCUUUUUCUUCAACCCGAGGGUGUAUGUGUAAAACUUAGGAACCCUCCAGCGCUUGCGUACGAGGACCCCUAGUACAUCACAUUCUCUAGUUCAAGGAUCAGAUCAUAAGUUCCUUUCCGACCCUUGCCUCUUGAUCAUCACCAGCUCUCUUGAACCUCCAUACCCUCCUGCUCUUUGUCGCGAGUUUCUGGGCUCAGGCGAGCUAGUGUUGCUGUUGAAAUAACCGUCU
rnacentral:lncRNA from 1 species